rnacentral:rRNA from 1 species
GGGUCAGUAGGUUGGUCGUGCCACCGGUACGUACUGGCCUCACUGAUUCCUCCUUCCUGAAGAACCGUAAUGCCAUUAAUUUGGUGUUGCGGGAAACAGGACUGUUACUUUGAAAAAAUUAGAGUGUUUAAAGCAAGCUAACGCUUGAAUACAUUAGCAUGGAAUAAUGAAAUAGGACGAUCGAUCCUAUUUUGUUGGUUUCUAGGAUUGACGUA